UACGUAGGGUGCGAGCGUUAAUCGGAAUUACUGGGCGUAAAGGGUGCGCAGGCGGUUUUGUAAGCCAGAUGUGAAAUCCCCGGGCUCAACCUGGGAAUGGCAUUUGGGACUGCAAGGCUAGAGUGUGGCAGAGGAGACUGGAAUUCCCGGUGUAGCAGUGAAAUGCGUAGAUAUCAGGAGGAACACCGAUAGCGAAGGCAGCUCGCUGGGACGGUACUGACGCUAAGGCGCGAAAGCGUGGGGAGCGAACAGG
rnacentral:rRNA from 1 species